rnacentral:lncRNA from 1 species
AAGCAAUGGAAGAGUUACCACUUCCGAUAACGAUUCGCAAUUUCCUCAGAUACAGUUGAAAAGUUUGUAUCCGUUUCCUUUUUUAUAAUAUAGAUAAUCUAACCAAAUCCCAUAAAGAAAAAAGAUAUUAUCCUAACAAACUAAACAACCUGUACAUGUUCUAACAAAAAUGCUGAACGUCCAUCUGUUUGAUAUUUGCUUUGUCAUUGUUUUCGCAUUAAAUUCUUAUCAAAUUUUAAUAUUAUGCAUACUUUCCAACUCCAUUAUUUAUAUUUUUUUAAUGCCUAAUUUCGUUAAAAUUGUUGCCACAUCCAUAAAAAAAAAAAAAAAACGUAUAAUUUUGCAGGCACAGAUGCUUUUCGCGCCGUUCGAGUUCGUCCCACGUCGCUCUGCGAUCACGU